GCAGUCGAGCGGUAGAGAGGUGCUUGCACCUCUUGAGAGCGGCGGACGGGUGAGUAAAGCCUAGGAAUCUGCCUGGUAGUGGGGGAUAACGCUCGGAAACGGACGCUAAUACCGCAUACGUCCUACGGGAGAAAGCAGGGGACCUUCGGGCCUUGCGCUAUCAGAUGAGCCUAGGUCGGAUUAGCUAGUUGGUGAGGUAAUGGCUCACCAAGGCGACGAUCCGUAACUGGUCUGAGAGGAUGAUCAGUCACACUGGAACUGAGACACGGUCCAGACUCCUACGGGAGGCAGCAGUGGGGAAUAUUGGACAAUGGGCGAAAGCCUGAUCCAGCCAUGCCGCGUGUGUGAAGAAGGUCUUCGGAUUGUAAAGCACUUUAAGUUGGGAGGAAGGGCAUUAACCUAAUACGUUAGUGUUUUGACGUUACCGACAGAAUAAGCACCGGCUAACUCUGUGCCAGCAGCCGCGGUAAUACAGAGGGUGCAAGCGUUAAUCGGAAUUACUGGGCGUAAAGCGCGCGUAGGUGGUUCGUUAAGUUGGAUGUGAAAUCCCCGGGCUCAACCUGGGAACUGCAUUCAAAACUGUCGAGCUAGAGUAUGGUAGAGGGUGGUGGAAUUUCCU
rnacentral:rRNA from 1 species